GAAGAAUAACGUACCUAUAUGAAAUGACCCUGUCAUAACAUUACAUAAAUCUUAUCUAAUCUCAAAAGUUCGUCGAUGAGUUGUUUACCAGCUUUGACUGAACACGAUUCCCUCGAGCUGGAGAUGAGACGCACCGGGUUCACAGGCACUUGUUGUUAUAUACCUUUCCCACUGGGGCUGCUGCUGGCACGGAAUUUGGAGUCUCUGGUUUCUGGUGUUCCAGUUUAACUGGCGGGCAUGGCUUCUGGCGACAUUCCAGAUGUUGAGGCUGUUUUUCAGAGCCGGUGGCAGAUUCGUCAUUUUCACAAAGCGCCUGUGUGUGAAGUGCGGUGAUCUACUGAAGGUCUUGCUGAAAUAAAAAUCCUACAAAAACC